UCCAUCUUAGCUCAACUGGUAGAGCACAUGGCUUUCGCCCGUGUAGUUGUGGGUUCGACUCCCACAGAUGGCA